CCAGAUCUCUAUGAUUCGCAGAAGUUAUGCGGAAUCCUUGGCAUUGGAAGGAAAGCCUAUUAACAUUGUGAUCACUAAAGUUGGAUGGAGUGGAAGAAGAGUUAACAACAAAAUUGUAUAAAGUUCCAGUGUACAAUUCUGAUGGGAAAAGAGUCCAAAUAGUUCAAGCAGUUGGCAUCGCACAGAUUUCAGAAGACAGUCCCAAUGGUAAUAUAAGCGAAGUCUCAAAAAUCUUCGACAUUCCUACUAGUAUGCUGAAGCGCAAAGUUGGCCCGGUCGACCUUCUGAUUGGAAUUAAUUACUCACAGUUCCAUGCUGGUGAGACUAAAAUUAAGAAGAAUCUUGCCGUCAGAAAAAGUCCACUUGGUUGGGUGGUCUUUGGGACUGACUCAAAGGAAAUGACUUUCCAAAACAAUAACGUUUUGCAUGUGCGUCUUGCCCCUCCAGUUGAUUUGACAGAUUUUUGGAAAACCGAAUCAAUGGGUGUUUCUCCCUCGUUAUGCAAUUGUCAAGAAGUUGAGAUGUCUUUGAAAGAACAGCAAGAGUUAAAGUUGAUAGAAGAAUCCUGUGAGUUGGUUGGCAAGAAAUGGAUAAUGAACUAUCCUUGGAAGAAAGACCCUAGCCAAUUGCCAAACAACUAUUCGCAAGUCCUGAAGAAGCUGGAAAGUACAGAGCGUCGCUUGAGUAAACAGCCCAAACAUGCCAAAGAUUAUGAUACACAGAUAAAAGAAAUGGAAGAUAGAAAGUUCUCGAGAAAGUUAACACAAGAGGAAGUCGCAGAAUGGAAAAAGCCAGCCCAUUAUAUCGCUCACCACGCCGUAGUUCGUGAAGAAAAGAAGUCUACGCCAGUGCGUAUCGUUUUCAACAGUUCAGCGUCGUUCAAAGGACACUGUCUAAACGAUUAUUGGUACAAAGGUCCCGACCUACUGAAUAACCUUUUCGGGGUAAUACUGCGUUUCCGAGAGAAUGCUGUUGCUGUUUGUGGUGAUAUUGCAAAGAUGUAUCAUAUGGUUGGCAUCCCGCCAAUUGAUGAACAUGUCCACCGCUUUCUUUGGAGGAGUUUCGAGACAGAGCGCGAGCCUGAUACCUACGUUAAGACAGUUCUUACGUUUGGGGACCGUCCAUCACCCACCAUGGCCAUCGUUGCAAUGCGUAAAACUGCUGAGCUGAAAGAGGAUGUCAAGCCGGAAGCUGCCAAUUCAAUCAAGAAAAAUACCUACAUGGAUGACAUAUGUGACUCGCAGAACACCGUACAAGCAGCCAAAGAACUGACAAGAGAUAUUGAUGAAGUACUUGAUGCUGGCGGAUUCCACGUCAAGGGAUGGGUAUCAAACGCAGUGUUGAAUGAUGAAGAGCAACAAGGAGAAGUCGUACUUGGUCAAGAUCCGCUGAACGAUACACAGAAAGUUCUUGGAACAGUUUGGAACCCUCAACAAGAUAAGUUUUCAUUCAAAGUUAAAUUGGGACACACUGAUGUUUCAGAAUCGGAUGAAUCCCUACGCUCUACAGUUCCAGGAAAGUUAACAAAGCGUAUCAUUUUGAGCAAGAUAUCUGGAAUCUUUGACCCGAUUGGAAGAGUACCAACAGAUCCGGAUGAUGGCGGAUACCUAUGUCCAAACGAUAUACUAUUGGGCAGAGCUACGAACGCUGUGCCUCAAGGUCCGUUCCGAAAAACACAAAAUCCUCGCCACCGAUUCGAGUUUUGUCAGAGAAUUAUUGAUGCUUUUUGGAAGAAGUGGUCAAGAGACGUCCUACCGCUAUUAACCCCACGAAAAAAAUGGAAUACGCAAAGUCGUAAUGUAACGGUGAACGAUUAUGUUGUAGUGUCCGAGCCAAACGCAGUAAGGGGAAAGUGGAACACCGGAAAGAUCGUGGAAGUCUAUCAGGGAGAGGACGGGUUGGUCAGGAAUGUGAAGGUGAAAACUGCUACGGGAACCUACAGCCGACCUAUCAACAAGAUAUGCGUAAUUUAUCCAGCAGAAGGCUACGAAGAGGAGUGAAUGGGAGUUCUCCCAUUGUCGGGGGGAGUGUUUCAUUGACGAUGAAAGGACUUCAUGUAAGACUAUUUUAAUGUUUUAGUUAGUCGGAGUUUACUCGGACCUUAGUUGGAAGGGUUCGUAGGAAAAAUGUGAUGAGCUUGUAGAAAUGUUUUGAACACGUUUUCGUAUGGUUUUAUGAAGUUUAUAAAGUUUUAAGUAAGGUUUAUUAUUGUUAAAUGUUAAGAUAAAAGGAAAAGGAUGCUUGCUUAGGACAGAUGUAAGUAGAAAGCCUUAGUUAAUUCAUUUUUGUGAUUUAGUACUAAUUUAAUAUAUGUAAACAUACCGAUUUAAUUUCAUUAUUAUUUAGUUUCAGAUUGUUGUUAUUUGUGAAUAAAUCUUAAUACUGAAAUCCCAAGCGUGUAUUGUAUGUUAGCUCCAAGUUAUCGUCGGU